rnacentral:lncRNA from 1 species
AAUCAUAAGUUAUUUUACAACACGUUAUCAGCACGAUCGUUCUCCAAUUUGGUAAAAUUUAUUUGUAUCAUUUAUACCCUGCUAUAAUGGUCGGUAUACCGCCUCUACUAUUAUUUAUAUCAUGUUAUAAUGGCCGGAAUACCGCAUAUAUUAUUUAUUAGUAAUUUAAUUAAUUUAUUGGUCGGCCGAACCGCCUUAUAUUCUGUUUAUUAUUUAUUGGUCGGCCG